rnacentral:rRNA from 1 species
CCUACGGGUGGCUGCAGUGAGGAAUAUUGGUCCAUGGGCGCGCUCCUGCCCCAGCCCCGCCGCUUGAGUGAAGACGGCCCUAUGGGUUGUAAACCUCUUUUGUCGGAGAACAAAACCCGGGACGUGUCCCGGACUGCGUGUAUCCGAAGAAAAAGCAUCGGCUAACUCCGUGCCAGCAGCCGCGGUAAUACGGAGGAUGCGAGCGUUAUCCGGAUUUAUUGGGUUAAAAGGGUGCGUAGGCGGUCCGUUAAGUCAGCGGUAAAAUUGCGGGGCUCAACCCCGUCGAGCCGUUGAAACUGGCAGACUUGAGUUGGCGAGAAGUACGCGGAAUGCGCGGUGUAGCGGUGAAAUGCAUAGAUAUCGCGCAGAACUCCGAUUGCGAAGGCAGCGUACCGGCGCCAGACUGACGCUGAGGCACGAAAGCGUGGGGAUCGAACAGGAUUAGAUACCCGGGUAGUC